rnacentral:rRNA from 1 species
UAGGGAAUCUUCCGCAAUGGGCGAAAGCCUGACGGAGCAACGCCGCGUGAGUGAUGAAGGUCUUCGGAUCGUAAAACUCUGUUAUUAGGGAAGAACAAAUGUGUAAGUAACUAUGCACGUCUUGACGGUACCUAUCAGAAAGGCACGGCUAACUACGGGCCAGCAGCCGCGGUAAUACGUAGGUGGCAAGCGUUAUCCGGAAUUAUUGGGCGUAAAGCGCGCGUAGGCGGUUUUUUAAGUCUGAUGUGAAAGCCCACGGCUCAACCGUGGAGGGUCAUUGGAAACUGGAAAACUUGAGUGCAGAAGAGGAAAGUGGAAUUCCAUGUGUAGCGGUGAAAUGCGCAGAGAUAUGGAGGAACACCAGUGGCGAAGGCGACUUUCUGGUAUGUAACUGACGCUGAUGUGCGAAAGCGUGGGGAUCAAACAGG